rnacentral:lncRNA from 1 species
UUUUGCAGGCUAAGCAGACUUGGACUGAGCUGACCAAGAUACUUGUUUCAGUGAACCAUACUCGGGACACCAGAAAAAAAAUCGAGAUGUUCCGCCACACGUGCAUUCACCAGGAAUUCAGGUUCUCGGCGCUAGGCUUCUUCAAGGUUGGCCCACCCUUAGUGGUGUCGAUAACAAGCGCUAUCAUCGCUUACACCGUGGUCCUCUAUCAGUCAGACACGACCAUAUGGAACGCGGGCACUGCCACCGCCAACGUGACAUUGACAUUGUAAGCAGUUGUCAAAGGAAGCACUUUUCUCAAUCACCAC